CAUUUGGCAUCUACCUUCUUCAUUGUACAACCAAUUCGGAAUCAUGGUUAACUAUGGCGACGUGCUGCUGUUUGGUGUUUUAUCGUUAAUGAUUGGGUCGACCAUGGGUGUACUGAUGUCUCCUGUACAUGGUGGAUACCAAGAAACAGCAGCGAAAGAA